rnacentral:snRNA from 1 species
GGAUGUGAGGGCAAUGUGGUAGCAGCAGCUGUUACCACCCUGAUCACCAGGGCUGAUUGGGCUGGGCAGGUGUUGCCUUCUUCCCUGACUGCUCUACGUGCACUUGGUUGAGGAGGAUGCCCUUCCCUGCCAAAGGAGGCCUGUUUUUUGGUCAGGGGUCUGUGGGUAGCUGUGCUCCCCUGCUAGAACCUGCAAACAGACUUUCAAGGUCCAUGUGAGGGAGAACAGAGGGGAGCCAGGUCUAAGACUCCAGAUGUCCAAAUGAGGCAGUGCCUGUGGCAAUCUGUCUUUCUAA